AUUGAACGCUGGCGGCACGCUUAACACAUGCAAGUCGAACGGUAACAUGUAUUGCACCUUAAUAUUUUUUUGAGAGAGAUGAUAUUAAGGUGCGAUAUGAUGACGAGUGGCGGACGGGUGAGUAACGCGUAGGAACCUACCUGAGAGAGGGGGAUACCACUGGGAAACUAGUGCUAAUACCGCAUAAGUUGUUUAUAUGAGAGUAUAGACAAGAAAGGUUUGGGAGCAGCAAUGCCCAGACGCUGACAGAGGGGCCUGCGUUGGAUUAGCUAGUUGGUAGGGUAAAGGCCUACCAAGGCAAAGAUCUAUAGCUGUUCUGAGAGGAAGAUCAGCCACACUGGGACUGAGACACGGCCCAGACUCCUACGGGAGGCAGCAGUGGGGAAUAUUGGACAAUGGGGGGAACCCUGAUCCAGCAAUGCCGCGUGCAGGAAGAAGG
rnacentral:rRNA from 1 species